rnacentral:rRNA from 1 species
GCAAGUCGAGGGGUAACGGAAGUAGCUUGCUACUAGACGACGACCGGCGCACGGGUGAGUAACGCGUAUGUAAUCUGCCUUGUACAGAGGGAUAGCCCAGAGAAAUUUGGAUUAAUACCUCAUAGUAUUACCGAAUCGCAUGAUUUGGUAAUUAAAGCUCCGGCGGUACAAGAUGAACAUGCGUGACAUUAGCUAGUUGGUAAGGUAACGGCUUACCAAGGCUACGAUGUCUAGGGGUUCUGAGAGGAUGAUCCCCCACACUGGUACUGAGACACGGACCAGACUCCUACGGGAGGCAGCAGUGAGGAAUAUUGGUCAAUGGACGCAAGUCUGAACCAGCCAUCCCGCGUGAAGGAUGACUGCCCUAUGGGUUGUAAACUUCUUUUAUAUGCAAAUAAACCUACUUUCGUGAAAG